rnacentral:lncRNA from 1 species
GGAGCUGACCCUUGGCUGUGACUGAGCCUCCUGAGAAAGGGUGCCUAUGCAGUUAUCAGAGGCCCUGGGUGGAGGCAGGAGGUCCCUCUUCAUAUCCACCCUCAGCGUCCUGACAACCAGCCCCCCAUUCCCCUCUCCCUUUUCUGUCUUGUUUGACCCACAGGCUGUUCUUCCCUCACCCCUUUAAAGGGCCAGCUUGGGCCCAGUGGACAAAGGUGAGAUGCCUUGACCAGGUGGAACAUCCUCUUCUUUGCCUCCUGAGAUUAAAAGGGACAUCUUUGCUGUUACAAGCUGUGAAAGGCUGGGAGGUGGGGUUGAAGGACAGGUAAGCGGUGGGAUUUGUCUAGUUCUGUGCUUUCUGGGACCCAGAAACAGCAAGGUGUGGGAAGUGACCACCUGGCAGUGGUGAGGGCCUGUGAGGUGCCCUGCUCCUGCCCCCUCCCUAUGUGAGGUAACCUUGGGGAGACAGGUAUCUGCAGAGGGUGGAGCAGAAUGUGCCUGUGUCAUUCUCCUAGGGCUGCCUAGCAAAGUGCCACCAACUGGGUAGCUUAGACACACAGAGACUUGUGACCUCAGACUCUGAAGUGCAGAGCUCUGGAAUUGAGGUGUCGGCCGCAUUCCCCGGGAUGGUCUCCCUGCAGCUGCUCUAGUUUCCUGGGUUUGGCAGCAGAGCUCCAGACUCCAAAGGGUGUGUUUCCUGGGUCUGAUUCCUCCUGUUUAUAAGACACAAGGCUAUGCAGAUUUUUUUUCUAUACAUUUUACAACUUUGCACUUGAAAAUUUGACUUUAUGGAUUAUUUUGAAUAGCUUUUUGGGUGAGCCAUAAAGAUUGCGUUCGAGUUUCACGUGGUUCAUUUUUAUUUUCCCAACUGUUCUGCAGCCAUUUGUGGUUACAGAUUUGUUUUCUCUCCAUCGAGUGGCCUUUGUGCCUUUGAGAGGACCACUUGACUGGUUUUACAUGGGUCUUUCUGUGUAGAGAAUCAGAAGUAACUGCGUUACUAUUACUGCAACAUUUGGCAUAGUCGGCAGGACUUGCAUUUUCAAAUGCUAAUGUUUCCAAUAAUACCUUUGCUAUUUGAUCUUGACCCAUUGCCCUCAUUACAAAAGUACGCGGCCUUGCAAGAAAAUCAGUGUAAGAUUCAGUAGCCCCUUGUAUAGUUUUAGUAAGGAAGGUUGUGCCUGACCAGUGGGUAUCACACAUCUUUAAGCUCUUAAACCUGUCGAACUUGUUGAAGAUCCUGAUCUGUAUAUUGAGCCUGUCUCUAAAGGCACAGUAAUUACCCUCCUCCAUUAACUUAUCCUCCAUAGGUCCCUGGGGAUUUUGAAGGUUUUGUUGUCUAGUUAUAGGAAACAAAUGUGGUGGAUCAACAAAAGAACCAGGAGGAGCUGCAAGAUCAUCAUCAUCAUGUAUCAUAGUAAGAGGAAAUGAAAAAUGUUGUUGUUCUCUACCCACAUCAGCUCUAUACUCUGUCAUUGGAAAGAGAGAAGCAUUAGAAGGAGUAGUAGGUUUAAGAGAGGACCUUUGCUUUUUUAAUCUCAUUUUAUCCACAAAGGCCUCCAUAAUUUCUUUCAUAUUGGAGUCACUAUCUGAACUUUUUGAAUCUUCCUCAUCGCCCAGAUCUGAUUUAGGAGAGUCAUCUAUAGUAUCACAAAUAUCUUCCUUGGGCUCCGUUUUGUUAACCUUAUUAUCAGAUUCUGAUGUAUAAACUUGUCUUUUACAAAGAGAGCCCUUUUCAUUAUUGCUUUCUAAUAAUUGCAAUGCCUGAGUAAUAGUGCCACACAAUGUCCAAAUCUUCAAAGAAAUAACAUUCCCAGCCUGAUGCUGCUUAUGGAGCUCUUUCUGAACCAAUUUCCAUUCCCCUAAAUUUAACUGGACCUUAGUUUGAUACUGGAACCAGUGACAAUGACAUUCUAUAAUUUUAAAUAACUCCUUGAGUCUCUUAUGAGAUGUUUUCGCACCUAUGGAAUAUAAUAAUCCUUGUAGUAACUCCACAUAUUGUUCCUUUAAGGACUGGGAGUUUCCCAUGUUAGUUCUGAAAGUCCCCCUAAAGUCUCUUUCAACCCGGGGCGAUACCUUUCGAUAUUUUGUUAAUCCCAAAAGUCCCCCUUUCGUUUUGUUAACCCGGGGUAUGUUGAGCUCUGCUCUUUGUUAAGAACAGAUAAUAAAAUUUUUCUUAGCGCCCUCCUAGCCCACUUGGCAGAACAUCCCAUCCUUGUCGCCAAUGGGUCAAGAUCAAGUAGCAAAGGUAUUAUUGGAAACAUGUAUGUGGAAUGUCAUACUUUUGUAAAAAUGAAUGUAAUUUUUGUGAGGUAUAUGCAGGUGCAUUGUCAGUUUUAAGUUCCUUAGGAAUUCCCAUGAUAGCAAAACAAGAUAAUAAAUGAGAAAUGAUUGCAUCAGCUUUUUUUUUUUUAAGAUAAACUGUGGCCCAUAGAAAAUGAGUAUGAGUCUCAAUAGUAUGAUGUACAUACCUUAGUUGUCCAAAUGACUGAAUUAUAACAACAUCCAUUUGUUAAAGGGCAAUAGGAUGGAGUCCCCUUGGAUUAACACCAGGAGGACAGUAAGGAAUAUUAAAAGGAGCACAUGAUGAACCGUUAUUUUGUAUUUUUUAUAAAGUCCUUUAGUGUUUGUAUGAUGUAAAGCAUGUUCUAGAUGAGCCUUUUGUAAGGGGAAUAAUAGUUGAUCAAUAUUCUGAUUUUUUUUUUUUAGUUAAUUGUCCUGGGAGUGUAGA